UACAGAGGUCUCAACCGUUGUUCGGAUUCAUUGGGCGUAAAGGGUGCGUAGGCGGUCGGGUAAGUCGGAUGUGAAAUCUCAGGGCUCAACCCUGAAACUGCAUUCGAUACUGCUUGGCUAGGGUACUGGAGAGGAGACUGGAAUUUACGGCGUAGCGGUGAAAUUCGUAGAUAUUCGGAAGAACACCAGUGGCGAAGGCGGCUCACUGGCCCGGUACUGACGCUGAGGUGCGAAAGCGUGGGGAGCAAACAGG
rnacentral:rRNA from 1 species